GUGCCAGCAGCCGCGGUAAUACGGAGGGUGCGAGCGUUGUCCGGAAUCACUGGGCGUAAAGGGCGCGUAGGCGGUUGGGGAAGUCCGUGGUGAAAGCUCGUGGCUCAACUACGAGUCGGCCAUGGAUACUCCUUGACUUGAGCACUGUAGAGGCAGGCGGAAUUCCGGGUGUAGCGGUGGAAUGCGUAGAGAUCCGGAAGAACACCAGUGGCGAAGGCGGCCUUCUGGGUCCUCCCUGACGCUGAGGCGCGAAAGCGUGGGGAGCAAACAGGAUUAGAUACCCCGGUAGUCCUAGCCCUAAACGAUGAAUACUUGGUGUGGCGGGUAUCGAUCCCUGCCGUGCCGAAGCUAACGCAUUAAGUAUUCCGCCUGGGGAGUACGGUCGCAAGGCUGAAACUCAAAUGAAUUGACGG
rnacentral:rRNA from 1 species